rnacentral:rRNA from 1 species
UACGUAGGGGGCAAGCGUUGUCCGGAAUCAUUGGGCGUAAAGCGCGUGUAGGCGGCUCGAUAAGUCUGCUGUGAAAGUUCAGGGCUCAACCCUGGAAUGCCGGUGGAAACUGUCGAGCUAGAGUCCGGAAGAGGCGAGUGGAAUUCCUGGUGUAGCGGUGAAAUGCGCAGAUAUCAGGAGGAACACCAAUGGCGAAGGCAGCUCGCUGGGACGGUACUGACGCUGAGACGCGAAAGCGUGGGGAGCAAACAGG